CCCAGCAGAAUCUAAAAAAGAUAUAUGCCAUUUAAAGAUAUAUGGUUUAGCUUCCUCACACUUUCGAAAAUUCAGAUACCAUAUCUUUCACUUUGUGAUCCAAAUACAAAGUUAAAUUCACAAAGCAAAUAAAAGAUAGCAUCUUCCUUGAUAACGAAAUGUAUCUGCAUGACAAAUAAAUACAGAUCAUGAUCAGUCACUACUCCAUGUUCCGAUAUAACACAAACCUUUACAGACACUUGACAUGAACAGAUUUUUCUUGAAAACAAUGACUUUUAAGGCCUUUAUACAUUUGAAAUUUCUAAAGUUAAGCUAAAAGAUAGAUAGCAGAUCAACAUUGUCUUUGGGAUCAAAGGAAUCAAUCAACUAUGUCGUAAAUUACCAAAUAUUGUCUAGGACAUAUGCGUCAAAAAAGAAAUUCUGCAUGUUUUGGCUAGAUGAAUAUGAAUGGAUAAGCAAUAGGCAUGUGCCAACAAACAUCAUAGAUAGUAGAACAUGCAAAUUGGUCUCAUUACAGAGACUGCAGUUACUCACGUGUUUAAUUGAAAGGCAGCUCCUUAGACUUAGAGUGAGUAGCUCCAAACGCGAAUUUCUCCUUGAUACUCAUCUCAUGUUCUCAAACUUAAUGUACAGUGAUUGGACAAGGACAGCAUGGACGCGUUCUUCUUUUCAGUUCCACUGUGCCAAUGGUUCAACAAAUGGCAGCAGAGCAGAGAUCGAAUACUGGUUUAGGACAGGUCGAGAUCUAUCUAGCUGCAACAAAUAUUUUUUAUCGAAGUGUUACUCAAUAUGGAAAUAAAUUUUCAAUCAUAUUCACAUUAGAACAUGCGGAUUGGUUCCAUUACAGUGACAACAGUUGCUUACAAGUUUAAUUGAAAAGCAGCUCCGUUGAGCUUUUCCAAACACAAAGAUGACAAAGCACAAUGUCUCUUUGAAACUUAUCCCAUGUACUCCAACUUAAACAUACAACAAUGAGAAAAGGACUCGUGUAGGCAUUUUCUUUCAUUCCCACUAUCUCACUGCUAUUUCUGUAUGACUGUCUCCCUUGAUUCACAAGACUGAUGGUGGCAUUGGUCAAGUACUCUACAUAGGUGCUCCAAGGGUCCAUUUCAUUCCGAAAAGACAAUGUGUUUUGUACUCGUUAUAUACAGGAAAUGCCGGCUGAAAAUAAUAGUUACAUCUGCUGCUGACAUUCUAGCUCCCACUUACCUAUCUAAAACGACAUUCUAGCUCCCGCUUACCUAUCUAAAACAACAACAGCAAAAAAUCCGGUGUAAUCCCACAUAUUGGGGUCUGGGGAGGGUAAAGUGUACACAGACCUUACCCCUACCUUGUGAAGGUAGAGAGGUUGUUUCCAAUAGACCUCCGGCUCAAUCCACUUACCUAUCUCCAUAUGACUUAAUUCUUCUUGUUCCAUGUUCAUGCAUAUAAAGAAGCAAAUUCCAAAUUGUAGCCCAUCCGUGUAUGGGGAUGUUCC
rnacentral:lncRNA from 1 species